CUAAGAAAUAGUAUAUACAAGUACAGGUUAGUUACAUCAACCAGGAAGAAAAAUCUUAUCUAGA
rnacentral:tRNA from 1 species